rnacentral:rRNA from 1 species
UAGGGAAUUUUCGUCAAUGGGCGCAAGCCUGAACGAGCGAUGCCGCGUGAGUGAAGAAGGCCUUCGGGUCGUAAAGCUCUGUUGCGGGGGGAAAAAGGCAGCAUCAGGAAAUGGGUGCUGACUGAUGGUGCCCCGCCAGAAAGUCACGGCUAACUACGUGCC